ensembl:lncRNA
AUUUAUGGAAAUUUAGCUAGCUAGCUUGCUGUUUCUAGUUAAUUUGUCCUGGGAUAUAAACAUUUGGUUGUUAUUUUACCUGAAAUGCACAAGGUCCUCGACUCCAACAAUUAAUCCACAGAUAAAAGGGUAAACGUUUGUUUCUAGUAAUCUCGCUUUCUUCAGGCUUCUUCUUCUUUGGACUUUAUAUGGCAGUUGGCAACCAACUUUAAUGUGCAUUACCACUACCAACUGGAUUGGAGUGUGGACCUCAGUUAAUCUUUCAAUCACCCACGUGGGUAAAUGCUCCAAAAACCAAUGAGAAGAUUGGAGAGGCAGGACUUGCAAAGCAUCAAGUGUCACAAAUAGAACCAAGUUCUAUUUUAGGGCCUGGCUACGCAGAUGCUCGUUGACACACACGAUCAGUGUUGGUGCAAUGAUUGAAUAACAUUUAUGUGUAAAUUAAUUUUGCUAAUUUAUUUCACAACGCGAGCGGUGUGGUCAGCAUGUUUUUUUAAAUUUUUUUAUUUUACCUUUAUAGGCAAGUCUAGGCAAGUCAGUUAAGAACAAAUUCUUAUUUACAAUGACGGCCUAGGAACAGUGGGUUAACUGCCUGUUCAGGGGCAGAACGACAGAUUUGUACCUUGUCAGCUCGGGGAUUUGAACUUGCAACCUUUCGAUGACAUUAUUGCGGAAAUUGACCGGGAGAGUGACACAGAACUAAUGGAUGAGGACUCUGAGUGAGCACAGUUCUGAUUCCAGUGUGGAAGAAAUGUUUUUGGAAGGAAAAUAUCCACUUUUAGAUCAAUAAGCUGACUGCAGUGAUUAAAUUCUAUAAGGAAAAUGGCGUGGCUUCAAGGAAGAAGAGGUGUGGUGGUCGUCGUCACGCCAGUAAAAGGGUGAUGUCUUAUGAGGAUAUUCAGCAAAUUGUUCACUAUGUCAAAAACGUUGAUGUUCAGCGAUGUCGCUCCUAAGAUGGAUCCCUGGAAUUAAGAGGGCAGACAUCCAGGUGCUACUGACAUUUUAGACCAAGUCCUCUGUGUGGCGCAGUUCACUCAGAGAUGGUAUGUAUGCUGGUUGAUGGCACCUGCAGGCCUGUUUGAGGGACAACUGGACACAACAUAUUAGCAUUUUUGGACUUCAGCUGAGACCCUCCUCCUCCUCCUUUACACAUCCUGUUAGGAAAGCUCCUUCUUUACACUUCCUGUUAGGCAUGAUGCUCUCAAGGGGUGUCUCUUCAAUGAUCUAAUGUCGUGUGGUAUUACCUAUAGAUGACCCUUACAAGCUUUCAGAUUGCUUGCCUGUGAAUGGUUGUCCACAUAAUCAGGCUAUUUACUUGUUACAUGGGUCUUUAAAUACUGUCUCUCUUACAGAAUUUAAAUGUUUCAACUGCCCCAUGCUUUCAUAUCAAAAUCAAAUUUAUUUAUAUAGCCCUUCUUACAUCAGCUGAUUUAUCAAAGUGCUGUACAGAAACCCAGCCUAAAACCCCAAAGAGCAAGCAAUGCAGGUGUAGAAGCACGGUGGCUAGGAAAAACAACCUAGAAAGGCCAAAACCUAGGAAGAAACCUAGAGAGAAACCAGGCUAUGAGGGAUGGC